GAGCUGUGAUGAUAUUUGUGCGCCCUCUGUGAUGGUUGGGUCUAUCACUGCCGUCUGAUUCUUGGACGAAAAUUGCUGCGCAUCUGAGCUU